rnacentral:rRNA from 1 species
UACGGGGGGAGCAAGCGUUGUUCGGAUUUACUGGGCGUAAAGGGCGCGUAGGCGGUCGUGACAAGUCACUUGUGAAAUCUCCGGGCUUAACUCGGAACGGUCAAGUGAUACUGUCGGACUAGAGUACAGAAGGGGCAACUGGAAUUCCUGGUGUAGCGGUGAAAUGCGCAGAUAUCAGGAGGAACACCGGUGGCGAAGGCGGGUCUCUGGGCCGAUACUGACGCUGAGGAGCGAAAGCAUGGGGAGCGAACAGG